rnacentral:lncRNA from 1 species
GUUCACUCACGCAAUUUGGCUAAAUUUUCCAUAGUCUUUAUUUUAUUUUGAGAAACGAUGUGGUAUAUUGAUGUGUGGUGUUUUACUUGAAUGGACAUAAACACAAUCUAAGGAUGCCAUGAAUAGACGGGAUUAUAGUUAACAUAUUAUCACAAAAGGUCAUUAGCUAGCCCACUAAUGUCUUCAUCCACUACUUGUACUCUAAUACCCUCUCGUGCGAAUACAAUGCCCUCAAUAUCAUAGAAACACUAUUUUUGUGUGGUGUUUUACUUGAGUGGACAUAAACACCAUCUAAGGAUGCCAUGAAUAGACGGGAUUAUAGUUAACAUAUUAUCAUAAAAGGUCAUUAGCUAGCCCACUAAUGUCUUCAUCCACUAGUUAUACUCUAAUACCCUCUAGUGUGAAUACAAUGCCCACAAUAUCAUAGAAACGCCAUUUGAGGUUUAAAAGGUGAUCUAUUGUUUUGAAUUCUUUAUAUUCCAACUUUUUAGCAACUGUAUGGUGGAAAAAGGUGUCUUACAACCUUAACCUAUGUUUGGACAGUUCUCUCGUGCAAUUUGGCUAAAUUUCCCAUGGUCUUUAUUUUAUUUUGAGAAACGAUGUGGUAUAAUGAUGUGCGAUGUUUUACUUGAGUGGACAUAAACACCAUUUAGGUAUGCCUUGAAUAGAGGGGAUUAUUGGAAACCUGGUAUCACAAAAGGUCAUUAGCUUGCCCAAUAACGUCUUCAUCCACUAGUUAUAUGUUGGGGACUUGUUCUCAAAUGCUAUGAGUUAAGAACAAGGCAACACAGAGAAUGUUAAACGAUAAAGUCCUUCGUCUUUUGAAGCAUUAUUUCCCUUAGGAUAUAACGAUCUUCGGACGAAGGUCAUGAAGGAUGAACCUUCAUCAUCACAAUAUACGAUAAUGAAAGACGAAGCAUAUAAAACAUAAAAGAUAACAUGAAUAAUCAUAUAACAUCAUUCAUUUAACUUUAUUAUAUCAUCAUAGAGAAAUAAAGACAAUAUCGAAUUAUAAAUGUACCUUCGGCUUGGAAGGAGAUGAAAAUACAAGUGUGACGCAGGAGCGAAUGCCAAGUCAACGUGAACAGUACGGGGGUACUGUUCACCUAUUUAUAGGCACGGGGUACAACCCAUACAAAAUUACAUACAUGCCCUUUACAUUUGGUGAUAAUUCUAUAGCACUCUAUCGAGGUCUAAAUGGCCUUUUCAUCUUUAAGUCGGUUCCCUUUUCUGCGAACAUGCCGAAACUUUCCUGCUUCACAGCUUCGGCGCUGUGUCAACCUUUGUAGCUUUUACCUUUCUGAUACGAGUCCGAAGAUACCUGCUCACACAUUUUAAGCCGCUUCUCCCUUGAAGACCUUCGGCGCCGAAGCAUAGACCCAACAACUCUAAUACCCUCUAGUGUGAAUACAAUGCCCACAAUAUCAUAGAAACGUCAUUUGAGGUUUAAAAGGUGAUCUAUUGUUUUGAAUUCUUUAUAUUCCAACUUUUUAGCAACUAUAUGGUGGAAAAAAGUUGUCUUACAACCUUAACCUAUGUUUGGACAGUUCACUCACGCAAUUUGGCUAAAUUUUCCAUAGUCUUUAUUUUAUUUUGAGAAAUGAUGUGUCAUAUUGAUGUGUGGUGUUUUACUUGAGUGGACAUAAACACAAUCUAGGUAUCCCUUGAAUAGAGGGGAUUAUUGGAAACCAGGUAUCACAAAAGGUCAUUAGCUAGCCCAAUAACGUCUUCAUCCACUAGUUGUACUAUAAUACCCUCUAGUGUGAAUACAAUGCCCUCAAUAUCAUAGAAACACUAUUUUUAGUUUCAAAGGCAUACCUAAAUUGAUGUGUGGUGUUUUACUUGAGUGGACAUAAACACCAUCUAAGGAUGCCAUGAAUAGACGUGAUUAUUGGAUAGUGUUUCUAUGAUAUUGAGGGCAUUGUAUUCGCACGAGAAGGUAUUAGAGUACAACUAGUGGAUGAAGACAUUAGUGGGCUAGCUAAUGACCUUUUGUGAUAAUAUGUUAACUAUAAUCCCGUCUAUUCAUGGCAUCCUUAGAUUGUGUUUAUGUCCACUCAAGUAAAACACCACACAAAAAUAGUGUUUCUAUGAUAUUGAGGGCAUUGUAUUCGCACGAGAGGGUAUUAGAGUACAACUAGUGGAUGAAGACAUUAGUGGGCUAGCUAAUGACCUUUUGUGAUAAUAUGUUAACUAUAAUCCCGUCUAUUCAUGGCAUCCUUAGAUUGUGUUUAUGUCCACUCAAGUAAAACACCACUAGCUGUACUCUCAAGUAAGGAUGCCAUGAAUAGACGGGUAUACCACAUGCCUUAAAUAGAGGGUAGUAUAGGAAACCUGGUAUCACAAAAGGUCAUUAGCUAGCCCGAUAACGUCUUCAUCCACUAGUUGUACUCUAAUACCCUCUCGUGCGAAUACAAUGCCCUCAAUAUCAUAGAAACACUAUUUUUGUGUGGUGUUUUACUUGAGUGGACAUAAACACAAUCUAAGGAUGCCAUGAAUAGACGGGAUUAUUGGAUAGUGUUUCUAUGAUAUUGAGGGCAUUGUAUUCGCACGAGAGGGUAUUAGAGUACAACUAGUGGAUGAACACAUUAGUGGGCUAGCUAAUGACCUUUUGUGAUAAUAUGUUAAAAGUGAGUGAACUGUCCAAACAUAGGUUAAGGUUGUAAGGCACCUUUUUCCACCAUACAGUUGAUAAAAAGUUGGAAUAUAAAGAAUUCAAAACAAUAGAAAAUCAUCGUUCUGUUAUAAAAAAUGGAUACAACCAAUUCCUGACCUCGCGCGAGUGCUAGAAAAAUCACUCGACUUCUACCGAGAUCCUGAUUUAGCAUAGCAGCUACUCGACCUAGCAUACUAGUAUCCAUCUCUAAAGGAAUCCUAAGUUCAUGCAAUUAGGGUUUCAAGCAACUCUUACACUUAAGUGCACGGUACAAGCCUACAAACAUUAAGUGUAGUAAAAUAGCAUAUAUAAACGGUUAUGCAUAAAACCGGGGCUUGCUAGGAAUUCAACACUGGCAUAAAUUUUCCAUAGUCUUUAUUUUAUUUUGAGAAACGAUGUGGUAUAUUGAUGUGUGGUGUACUCUAAUAACUAUCCGUCUAUACCACAUUGUUUCUCAAAAUAAAAUAAAGACCAUGGGAAAUUUAGCCAAAUUGCACGAGAGAACUGUCCAAACAUAGAUUAAGGUUGUAAGACACCUUUUUCCACCAUACAAUUGCUAAAAAGUUGGAAUAUAAAGAAUUCAAAACAAUAUAUCACCUUUUAAACCUCAAAUGACGUUUCUAUGAUAUUGUGGGCAUUGUAUUCACACUAGAGGGUAUUAGAGUACAACUAGUGGAUGAAGACGUUAUUGGGCUAGCUAAUGACCUUUUGUGAUAUCAGGUUUCCAAUAAUCCCGUCUAUUCAUGGCAUCCUUAGAUGGUGUUUAUGUCCACUCAAGUAAAACACCACACAAAAAUAGUGUUUCUAUGAUAUUGAGGGCAUUGUAUUCGCACGAGAGGGUAUUAGAGUAAAAUUAGUGGAUGAAGACAUUAGUGGGCUAGCUAAUGACCUUUUGUGAUAAUAUGUUAACUAUAAUCCCGUCUAUUCAUGGCAUCCUUAGAUUGUGUUUAUGUCCACUCAAGUAAAACACCACACAUCAAUAUACCACAUCGUUUCUCAAAAUAAAAUAAAGACUAUGGAAAAUUUAGCCAAAUUGCGUGAGUGAACUGUCCAAACAUAGGUUAAGGUUGUAAGACAACUUUUUUCCACCAUACAGUUGCUAAAAAGUUGGAAUAUAACCUAUGUUUGGAUAGUUCUCUCGUGCAAUUUGGCUAAAUUUCCCAUGGUCUUUAUUUUAUUUUGAGAAACGAUGUGGUAUAAUGAUGUGCGAUGUUUUACUUGAGUGGACAUAAACACCAUUUAGGUAUGCCUUGAAUAGACGUCUUCAUCCACUAGUUAUACUCUAAUACCCUCUAGUGUGAAUACAAUGCCCACAAUAUCAUAGAAACGUCAUUUGAGGUUUAAAAGGUGAUCUAUUGUUUUGAAUUCUUUAUAUUCCAACUUUUUAGCAACUGUAUGGUGGAAAAAAGUUGUCUUACAACCUUAACCUAUGUUUGGACAGUUCACUCACGCAAUUUGGCUAAAUAUUCCAUAGUAUUUAUUUUAUUUUGUUAUAUUCCAACUUUUUAGCAACUGUAUGGUGGAAAAAAGUUGUCUUACAACCUUAACCUAUGUUUGGACAGUUCACUCUUCGCAAUUUGGCUAAAUUUUCCAUAGUCUUUAUUUUAUUUUGAGAAACGAUGUGGUAUAUUGAUGUGUGGUGUUUUACUUGAGUGGACAUAAACACAAUCUAAGGAUGCCAUGGGCAUUGUAUUCACACUAGAGGGUAUUAGAGUAUAACUAGUGGAUAAAGACGUUAUUGGGCUAGCUAAUGACCUUUUGUAAGACAACUUUUUUCCACCAUACAGUUGUAAUACCCUCUAGUGUGAAUACAAUGCACACAAUAUCAUAGAAACGUCAUUUGAGGUUUAAAAGGUGAUCUAUUGUUUUGAAUUCUUUAUAUUCCAACUUUUUAGCAACUGUAUGGUGGAAACCAGGUAUCACAAAAGGUCAUUAGCUAGCCCAAUAACGUCUUCAUCCACUAGUUGUACUCUAAUACCCUCUAGUGUGAAUACAAUGCCCUCAAUAUCAUAGAAACGUCAUUUGAGGUUUAAAAGGUGAUCUAUUGUUUUGAAUUCUUUAUAUUCCAACUUUUUAGCAACUGUAUGGUGGAAAAAAGUUGUCUUACAACCUUAACCUAUGUUUGGACAGUUCACUCACGCAAUUUGGCUAAAUUUUCCAUAGUCUUUAUUUUAUUUUGAGAAAUGAUGUGGUAUAUUGAUGCCAUGAAUAGACGAGAUUAUUGGAAACCAGGUAUCACAAAAGGUCAUUAGCUAGCCCACUAAUGUCUUCAUCCACUAGUUGUACUCUAAUACCCUCUAGUGUGAAUACAAUGCCCACAAUAUCAUAGAAACGUCAUUUGAGGUUUAAAAGGUGAUCUAUUGUUUUGAA